UACAGGUGUGCACCACCACGCCCCGCUAAUUCCUGUACUUUUGAUAUCUUAACAAAAUGUCCUAAAAGUUCCUCUUUUGCAUUUAACAUCUUCAGAUAAAUGAAAUGCCACCCUUUGUGUAUCCCAUUUCCAGCUGCUUGUCAAACAGCAUGUAGGGUACAUCUUAAUGGUUUUCUAUUUUUGCUCCAACAUUCCUUUGUACAAUUAAUGCAACACUUUAGCUACAUUUGGCCGUCAACAUAUAUUUUAUCAUCCUUAAACACCUUUUACUAUGUGAAGACUUCAACUUCUAUAGGAAUGUAGACAAGCUCAUGUACCAAAUUAAGGCACUAGAAUGGUAAGCCACAGGAAUAAAAUGCCCAGCAGCAAAGAAGUAAUGAUUAAUUUGCAAUAUAUCCAUGUAAUGGAAAAUUACAGACAUCCAAUAAGAAAAAAUGACAUUCCAUUAAGAAUUCGGGUAGGAAAACUUAGAAGAGCCUUCAGGAGAGCUGAGCAGUAACUGUCAACAUUUAACACGUCCACAACAGGGCUGUAAUGUGUCUGCUGGGCAGCUCUGCACCACUGCUGGAACUAGUGCUGCUUGAAGGGACAGUUGUGCGUGUAUCACUGGAAUCGAACUCUGGACCUUGUGCUUGCCAGGCAGGCACUUGUGCCCCUGAGCUAUAUCACCAGCCCACCACAAAUAUUUCUAAAGGAAUUGAGCACCACCUCAAACUGAUCUGAUUAUCUACUGGAACUUGAACCUCAAGAAUCACACCACAGUAAACUGUAUCUGACGUUCUCUCAAUGAACUAUUAACCAAGGCCUUUUAUUUUUAUGUUCAAUAACUUGUGCUUCACUAUGAGGUGAUAUGAAGUCAUACAUCUUCUCAGCCAAUGAUUAAAUUGUAAACAGUAAAAUUUUAAAGACAGACUAAAUAGUAUCCUUAGAAAAGUG